UUUGUUAUUUGUUUUGUUAUAUGAAUUUGUGUGUUGUUAGGAACAUAAAUGAAGACGAUAUUUCACAAUCCUAAAAGAAGUUACUAAGUGAUUGGCAUUUACCACGUCUUUAGCAAUGUUUAGCGUAUUUCAAUUAAUUUUUAGAAACAAAUUACUUUGAGUAAAUGAAAUAUCUUUUUUGUGAUAUGUUUGUGCUUGAAGAUAAGUGUACCGCAUGCAAAAUGUUACAUUCCGAAAGAGAAGAGUUUGUCCAGAUUACAAAGUCAUACUCUACAAAUGUCAGAAGAUAGAGAAAUAGAAACAGUUGCCGAUGAAUCCUAAAACAUGUAGAUUUGAAGUAUAUCUAACAAUAAAUAAUAUAAGUCAUUUAAGAUUUGUUAAAAUAAUGUCUCAUGGACCAACAGAAAAUUAAGCUUGCAUCAAGAAAGAUAUUAACUUUUUAGAUGAUCUAGUCUGUAGUAGAAUAUUUACAAUAUGAUUUAUCUGCAUGUAUAUAUACUAGUUUUGUAUUAUGUCUCUAUAAUUCUAUGUAAUUAUUUAUUGUCAAAUAAUGUGAUUCCAAUAA